rnacentral:rRNA from 2 species
CUGCGGCCUAUCAGCUUGUUGGUGAGGUAAUGGCCCACCAAGGCGAUUACAGGUACGGGCUCUGAGAGGAGAAGCCCGGAGAUGGGUACUGAGACACGGACCCAGGCCCUAUGGGGCGCAGCAGGCGAGAAAACUUUGCAAUGUGCGAAAGCACGACAAGGUUAGUCCGAGUGAUUUCUGCUAAAGAGAUCUUUUGCAAGUCGUAAAACCACUAGUGAAUAAGGGGUGGGCAAGUUCUGGUGUCAGCCGCCGCGGUAAAACCAGCACCUCAAGUGGUCAGGAGGAUUAUUGGGCCUAAAGCAUCCGUAGCCGGCUUUGUUAGUUUUCGGUUAAAUCUAUACGCUCAACGUAUUGGCUGUCGAAAAUACUGCAAAGCUAGGGAGUGGGAGAGGUAAACGGUACUCAAUAGGAAGGGGUAAAAUCCUUUGAUCUAUUGAUGACCACCUAUGGCGAAGGCGGUUUACCAGAACACGU